AUGAACGCUAGCGGCAGGCUUAACACAUGCAAGUCGAGGGGCAGCAUGAAGGUUAGCAAUAACCUUUGAUGGCGACCGGCGCAAGGGUGCGUAACGCGUGAGCAACUUGCCCGUUUCUGGGGGAUAACCGGUGGAAACGCCGACUAAUACCCCAUAGCAUUGAUUUCAGGCAUCUGUUAUCAAUUAAAGAAUUUCGGAAACGGAUAGGCUCGCGUGACAUUAGCUAGAUGGUGAGGUAACGGCUCACCAUGGCGACGAUGUCUAGGGGUUCUGAGAGGAAGGUCCCCCACACUGGAACUGAGACACGGUCCAGACUCCUACGGGAGGCAGCAGUGAGGAAUAUUGGUCAAUGGUCGAAGGACUGAACCAGCCAUGCCGCGUGAAGGAUACGGCCCUAUGGGUCUUAAACUUCUUUUGUAAGGGAGCAAUAAGUCUUACGUGUAGGAUGAUGAGAGUACCUUACGAAUAAGCAUCGGCUAACUCCGUG
rnacentral:rRNA from 1 species